CUGUAACAAAUUUCUGUAGUUUUCACAGCAUUAUUACUGUAAAAUGAGCAAAUGCUUACUGUAGAACUUGUAUACAGCAAGUUGCUGUAGAUCUGCAAAGCAUCAUGGUCUUUUUUCAACGGCGGGUAAAUUCUACAGUAAAAAUAUUUUUUCUGUGAAUCACAAUACAGCAAUUUCUAGAGGAUUUUUUUCUUCAGCCAAGGAAAGCUACGAGAUUCCACACUUUCAUCUGAAUUUUUACUUCAGAAAGGGUUGAUGACGUAUGGACCCUGCAUAUGCAAGUGCGACGACCUCCGCAGGCUGAAACCAGUCUCUCGAGCUGAAAGAAAACGCAGCUGAGGAGAUAUGAGACUGCAGACAAGAGCCAUCGACCAUCGUUCCAGAAAACUUCCACCUAAACAGAUGCUGAGGCCCAGAUUUCCCUGCCAAGCACUCCAAGGCUCAUCAUGCUCGGGUAGAGUCCAGCCCAGGAAGUCAACUAGUUCAGGUCCAGU